AUCUUCCACUUUUUGGAUCUGCCUUAUUGUAACAGCCCAAGUUCUUGGGCCUGUAAACCCUUGACGGCCCAAUGAAGAAAAAAAAAAAAUUGGAAUGAGGAAGACUCCCACUGGGAGUCUUCUUCCACCCAAAUCAUCGGAGGAGAAGUCGAAUCCAAGGGAGAUUUGACCUCCCCUCCACUCUAUAAGACCCCCCUCUCCCCCUC
rnacentral:lncRNA from 1 species